AUGAAGGACAAUGGUUUGGAACCUAAUGUUCAGACAUUUAAUAUGAUUAUUUUCAGUUCAUUGAAAGGAAAAGAUCUCCAAAAGAUUAAACUGCAUCCUAAGAGUGUAAAGGAAAAUUAUAAACAUUGUACUGAAAUUGAUACAAGAUGCAAUCUAGUUUUGGAUUCGACAAGUCCUGAAGAUAUGUUACAUUACAAAAGGGGAGACAAGAUUGACAUACGAGUGAUGCGUCAGGUUAAGCUCAUAUCAUACAUGGCUGCAGUUUGA